rnacentral:rRNA from 1 species
UACGUAGGGGGCAAGCGUUGUCCGGAAUCAUUGGGCGUAAAGCGCGUGUAGGCGGCCCGGUAAGUCCGCUGUGAAAGUCGGGGGCUCAACCCUCGAAUGCCGGUGGAUACUGUCGGGCUAGAGUGCGGGAGAGGCGAGUGGAAUUCCUGGUGUAGCGGUGAAAUGCGCAGAUAUCAGGAGGAACACCAAUGGCGAAAGCAGCUUGCUGGGACGGUACUGACGCUGAGACGCGAAAGCGUGGGGAGCGAACAGG